UUCCGCCGGCACUGCGGGGCGUAGAGAGCGUCGCUUAACUGCUGCGGGAUGCUUCUCAGCACUUUUCUGCACCUAGGUGCAUUCCCUUCGGUCGCUCCGAGUGAGUCCCUGAGGGCCUCGCUGCUGUGCGCCUCUCUUGCAGACAGAUGACAGCUCUUCCUUGGACGUUUUCACUGGUUCUGCAACACCCAGUGUCCCCUUCUCUCCGCACUCCCCGGUGGGCGCCCAGUGUCCAGGGGGAGGAUGUCCCUGGAUGAGUCCACUGUGUACAGAGGCAUCAUGGGAGUUGUCAUUGUCAGGAACAUUCUACACUCCAGGAAUCUUGAGGGAUGCUUCCUUGGAUCUGGAGAUUGUGGAAAGAAGGCCCAAGGGAUAGAGGCACUGACCCUUUCAGGAUGGUGACAUGGGGUGCCAGCUCUCUUUAUGGUGAUUUAUUGCCAAGAAGCCAAGUCAACCUGUGUUUCUGAGAUUGAGAUAGAAAUUCCAAGCCGCUGGCCUGGACUAACUCUCUCUUGGUCUGUGGUGUUGAUUGUGGACACUGGCACAGCAGAAAGUGAAGUGUGAUGUUGCCACGUGACACAUUGUCAGACCUUGCCACUGUUGCCUCAGCACAACGUGGAAACUUUUACUCUGUGCGAUCAGGGCAAGGAAAGCCCUGGAUUCUGGGGACUUGGGGUUCAUAGGUGGAAACCCUUCAGCUGGCUCUGCCUCUCCUCAGCAGUGCCACGGAUCCCUGGAUGGGAAGACUGGUGUCCAUCUCAUGUGUGGCCAGCUUCUGUGUCUUCUUGCCUAUUCCUGUUUUAACUGUUUAGAUCUAAAUAAAAUGCUAAUGACGUUUUCUAUGCUGUGUCCUUGUCCUUU